GCCAGAAUGCAUUGUGGGAAUAUUCUGUGACUGUAUGUCCUAAACUGAUACAUGUCUGUCUGUGGUUACAGUCUCCCAUUUGGUCCCCUAGGGGAGUGUCCACCAAGUGGGAGACCUGCAUAAAUACGGGCGGGUAGCCCACAGUAAAGUCAGUUCUUGUUUUACCCCCAAUGCGGAGCUUGGUCUCGUUAUUGGGGGGAUUUACUACCCACGGUUAGCGACUGAUUGCUGGAAACUUAAGCCGCUUGGAGAUUAUAUUUGUUCGGCUGUGAGCCGCGAUUCAUGGACUUAUUGUUCAGGAGUUUGAAGGAUUCAUACGGAUACCGUUCGGGAGAAUGGCAUAUUCCCCUGGCUUCAGUUUGUGCGGUUGAGGUAUACACAAAUUGAGCCUACAUUACUAAAGAGGGGGAGCUCAACUAAAUGGC